CAGAGGUCCCAAGCGUUGUUCGGAUUCACUGGGCGUAAAGGGUGCGUAGGCGGUCGGGUAAGUCUGAUGUGAAAUCUCACAGCUUAACUGUGAAACUGCAUUGGAUACUAUCCGGCUCGAGGAGUGGAGGGGAGACUGGAAUACUUGGUGUAGCAGUGAAAUGCGUAGAUAUCAAGUGGAACACCAGUGGCGAAGGCGAGUCUCUGGAUAUUUCCUGACGCUGAGGCACGAAAGCCAGGGGAGCAAAACGGG
rnacentral:rRNA from 1 species